rnacentral:misc_RNA from 1 species
GAGCUUGCCAAAUCGCAACAAGAAGUGAGGGGCGUGAGGCGAGAAGGGCACCCUUCAGUCGCUCCUGUGUCAUCUUGCACAUCACCGACCACCCUCCUUGGUGACAUCAGGACAAAGCAUUCUUGCUUUACCCCUCCGCCCCCCCCGCACUGACGUGCACGGAGGCGACGGGCAAACCCCCUGUUCCGGAUGGUGGAUCAUCUGCCGCCUCUCACGCCCUCCAAGGGCAUGGUGCCGAAAAGCUCGCUGAAAAAGAAGACGGACGACUACGCCCUUUGCCAGGAGUAUGCCGCCUACAUCGCGCAGCUGCGUGGGCUGCUUGAAGAGACAACUGGGCAACCGCCGGCGGGCGUGCGCACGGCCGAGGUCGAGCACCGCAUUACCUUGAUCCAGUCUGCUUUGGACGAAGUAGAGCGACUCAGUGCCGAGGCCCGCUGGCGCAUCGAGCUCCGCAACAAUCAACGCUUUUUGGACACCUACGAGCGACGCAUCCAGAUGGAAGAGGAGGCGGAGCAGAAGCGGCAGAAUGCCGAGAAGGAGCGCAUUGCACAGGUGGAGGAGAUGCGUAGCAUGCAGCUCGCCUACUACAAAGAUCGCAACGGCCGCACGGAUGCCAAGGCGCAUCGGUGCCGAGCCCACAAUGAGCAGGUGCAGGAGCAGACGGUGAUGAAGGCGGGGUCGAAUGAGGAGCGUCGCACACGAAACUUAGCAAACCUUGAAGCCGAGCGCCAGCGCAAGCAGAAGGACCUGCACGACCGCGAGCAGGCCAAGCAAGACUACGCGCGCAAGGUGCGAGAGCGUCAGGCUAGGAAGGAUGCGGAGAAGCAGGCAGAGAGGACGCGGUUGGCUGAGAUCCACCAACAGGAGAUGGAGGCAAAACUGUACGCGAUUCGCGAGUCAAAGCGCAGUAAGUGGGUGAUGAAAAAGGAGGCCAGCCGCGCUAAGUCUGUGGUGGUGUGGAAAAACGGUGAGGCCAUCCUGGAGACGCAGCGCAAGAACCACGGCUGCCUCGUGGAGGAGCUGGAGCAGCGGCAGCGGCAGCAGGCAAGCCGCUACGCGGAGGAGAAGGCGGAACAGGAGGCGUAUAUUGAGCAGCGCAGGCUACUCCACGCCGCCCGGCAGGAGCGGCAACAGGAGAACCUCCGCAAGCUUGUUGAAAAGCGCGUGGCGCGUGGCGUCGAGAUUGUAAAGAGCGCGGAGGAGAAGAAAGAGCGGGCCGAGCAGGCGAAGGAGCGGCAGGCGGCGCAGUACGUCGAGGCCGGAAAGCUACUCGAUGAAGGCGUACAGCUUCACCGCCAGCGUGCGCGAAGGUUGCAGGAGCGUCGCGCGAACGAAUCCCUGGCACAGAAUUACAGGCGCUGGAACCACCGCGCCGCGCGCAUCAUGGAGGAGCUGCGCGAAACCAUGGCAAAGGUGGAGGCCGAGGCGGAGCAGCGGGCCGCUGCAGCAAACAGCCAAAGAGGGUCGUUAGCAUAUGGCGAUAGUCGGCGUUCCUGGACAUCGACUGAACAGGCCGACACCCCUAAGCGCUACUGCCCCAUCGCGUCGCUCCCGUCCCCCACCGAGUUUGCUGUCUAGGGCCGAGAGCGGAGGCAGUGUGUUGGCCCUCAUACCCAGGAAAACAGUAGAAGGCAACGGCACGCGGAACAGCGCAGAACCACUUACUGCAAGUGAUAGUGGGUACUGGGCACAUCGCUGCUGCUUGCCUGUCUUCCUGCUGCUUCCCCUUUACGCCUUCCUUUCGUUCUCUGUAUGUGUAUCUUUUCUGUGUUCGGAUGCUCGUGUAAAGGGUGUUGCGCGCUGCGUGCCGUGGCCCACAGACAUGGGUGUGGGGUCGAUCGCUGUUAGUGUGGUCAUGCUCUUAGCUGCGUCUCUUCGGGCCGCGCGAUGCCAUUGCCUGUGCUCUUGCGUGCCUGCCGUUGUUUUUCUUUGUACAUACUCCUCUUUGCGUGUGUUUCCUCUGUAUAGUACGCAAUUCACGGCGAUGCCGCUCAGCCGAGGAUGGCUGGCGCGCCUCCGGCGACGUUGCUGCUGGAGGUGUUGCUUUGCUUCCUUUUCACCCCACAAGCCUCUGGCCGGGUGCGUUUCUUGUGUCACUGGGCCCAUGGCCCGUGGGGUGUGUGCUCGUGAACGGUUGGGGAUGGACUGACGUGCUUCGCGGGCGCUUCUGCCUCCUCUUCGCUUCACUGGCAUGUCUCUCUCACAGGCGCAGGUAUGUCUUCGUGUUAUUUUUACUUUUCGCCCUCAUGCGCUGUAUGAUGGACGAGCAGCAGCACCUCCGCCGUUGCCGCUGUCUGUUCUUCCUCCUGUGCACUUGUGCGUGUCUUUCCUUCGAUGUUUCUUUGUGUUGUUUGAUUACGCUUGUUUCGCUUCCUGUGUCUUUGUGAGUUUCUUCUUCGUGCCACCUUCCCCUCUCCCCUCCCUCCAGUUACAUGUAUCUUACCCCACUUGUGUAUGGCCGCGGCUCUCACACUCACACAAGCG